GAUGAACGCUGGCGGCGUGCCUAAUACAUGCAAGUCGAGCGAACAGACGAGGAGCUUGCUCCUCUGACGUUAGCGGCGGACGGGUGAGUAACACGUGGAUAACCUACCUAUAAGACUGGGAUAACUUCGGGAAACCGGAGCUAAUACCGGAUAACAUGUUGAACCGCAUGGUUCAACAGUGAAAGACGGUUUUGCUGACACUUAUAGAUGGAUCCGCGUCGCAUUAGCUAGUUGGUAAGGUAACGGCUUACCAAGGCAACGAUGCGUAGCCGACCUGAGAGGGUGAUCGGCCACACUGGAACUGAGACACGGUCCAGACUCCUACGGGAGGCAGCAGUAGGGAAUCUUCCGCAAUGGGCGAAAGCCUGACGGAGCAACGCCGCGUGAGUGAAGAAGGUCUUCGGAUCGUAAAACUCUGUUAUUAGGGAAGAACAAAUGUGUAAGUAACUAUGCACGUCUUGACGGUACCUAAUCAGAAAGCCACGGCUAACUACGUG
rnacentral:rRNA from 1 species